AGAGGGUGCGAGCGUUGUCCGGAAUCACUGGGCGUAAAGGGCGCGUAGGCGGUUCGACAAGCGUGCGGUGAAAGCUCGGGGCUCAACCCCGAGUCGGCCGUGCGAACUGUCGGACUUGAGCACAGUAGAGGCAGAUGGAAUUCCGGGUGUAGCGGUGGAAUGCGUAGAGAUCCGGAAGAACACCGGUGGCGAAGGCGGUCUGCUGGGCUGUGGCUGACGCUGAUGCGCGACAGCGUGGGGAGCAAACAGGAUUAGAUACCCUGGUAGUCCACGCCGUAAACGAUGGGCACUAGAUGCUUGGGGGAGCGACCCCCUGAGUGUCGGCGCUAACGCAUUAAGUGCCCCGCCUGGGGAGUACGGCCGCAAGGCUGAA
rnacentral:rRNA from 1 species